rnacentral:lncRNA from 1 species
AAGCACUGCACAUAUUUGCAUAGCAAUUCGCGUCCUUGCUUCACUUCAAAAAACAGAAAUGACAAAUCAAAGAGUCUUCUUGUGAAGACGUCCCUUUGCUUCAGAAGAUGUUGCAGUUCCUCUCUCAAACUCAGGAACAGGGAGUAGGAAAUGGCAUCGGCUUUGUUUUCACCUUUACCAAAAGAGAGGUUCGGCAACAGCGCCCCCCUGCUUUGAAUUUUUUCUUUUUAAAAAGGGCUUCUGUCGUGAGUGGCACACGUGGGGCAGCUCAAUUGCUCUUCGUGCGGAAUCGACAUCAAGAGAUUUCGGAAGCAUAAUUUUUUGGUACUCGGGCAGCUGGUGAUCGUUGGUCUCGGCGCCCCUGUUCAGAUGGGUCCGAAAAGAAAAACGAGUUCUCGUUGGCCUCUGUAAGAGUAGAAGAUUAGCCUUGAGCUAACUGCUGCCAAUCCUCCUUUUUGCUGAGGAAGACUGGCCUAGAGCUAACAUCUGUGCCCAUCUUCCUCUACUUUACAUGUGGGACGCCUACCACAGCAUGGCUCUUGCUAAGUGGUGCCAUGUCCACACCCGGGAUCCGGACCGGCAAACCUGGGCCACCAAAGCGGAACAUGAGAAAACAGAAGCUCCAAGAGGCCCAGAUCACAUAGCUAGAAAGUAGCAGAGUCAAGAGAUGCGGAAACUGAGGCCAAGACAGAGACUGAUCCAAGGUCACGGAGCCAGCAAGCACUGAACUUGUCCUCUCUGACUCCAAAACCAGGAAGUCCGCCUUUCGCUUUGGUCGUGGUGGUGGGCAGUGGGUGAGGGUGGGGUGAGGGCAGGGGAGGAAGUGAUUCACUUGGCUGUAUCCAGAUUCAUCCCAGACUUUUUUUUUCUUGUACCCACUGGCAGAACUUCCUCCUUUUCUCUCUCUGCCUCGUUUUCUGAUUCACUCCCCAUCUGUUAUGGUUUCUGAGAAUGUGGGUGCAGAGGGUGGGGUAAGCUGUGGGGAGUGGGAGGGAGAAUGCAGCCAGUCCUUAAUAAACAAAUAUUUUUUAUGCUCUCUAUGUACCAGGCAACGUUCUAGGGGCUGGGAGUCCUGCCGUGAAUAAAACAGACCUUGUCCCAGCUCUCAUGGAGAGU